rnacentral:rRNA from 1 species
AACGAACGCUGGCGGCGUGGAUAAGACAUGCAAGUCGAACGCUGAUUUCAAGGUAGCAAUAUUUUGAAGUUGGAGUGGCGCAAGGGUGUGUAACACGUGGGUAAUCUGCCGUGAAGCCUGGGAUAACUUGCUGAAAGGCGAGCUAAUACCGGAUGUGAAAAUUAGAAGGCAUCUUUUGAUUUUCAAAGUUGGGACCGCAAGGCCUGACGCUUUAUGAUGAACCCGCGGCCAUCAGCUAGUUGGUGAGGUAAUAGCUCACCAAGGCUAAGACGGGGUAGGCUGGUCUGAGAGGACGACCAGCCACACUGGAACUGAGACACGGUCCAGACACCUACGGGUGGCAGCAGUCGAGAAUUUUUCUUCAAUGGGCGAAAGCCUGAAGGAGCGACGCCGCGUGGGGGAUGAA